CAACCAUGCUGAAGAGACAAUGACCAUUUAUGGAAAAUAACACAGUGUUUUAUAUAUAAAAAAAAAAAAAAAAAAAAAAGUGACUUUUAUUUUAAUUCUUCGGACAGCAAAAUAGAGCUACCAAUCUUCAGUGGGAAUGUUUGUAGUUAUCACUCAAGAUGCAAAUUAUUAAGUUAUCCAGAAUUUAUGCAGGAUUGGAGGAUAGAAAAGAGUUCAUCACUGGACCACUAAUCCAUGGCGACAGACACUUCUCAUCACUCAGACCUGUUCUUAGUCAGCUUGUCAUUUACUCUUAAUUAUUUCCUUUGCAGAGUAUUGCAUUUUGGUCUGCACUCACCUACAUAAAGUGUCCAACUAGCAGAGGUGCCUUUGGGUGAAAAUUCCCAAGUCAGUUUUCAUGCUAUUUGGAAAUAUGGUGUAAGUGCAGUGGAUGGCAUGCUAAUCCCAAAUCUGCAGUUAUGAUCUGGGCUCUGAGAUCUUCCACUCCAACCUUGGCAAACCAUGUCUUCAUGGAGCUCGCUGUGUGCACAGGAGCAUUGUCAUGCUCGAACAUGUUUGAGACUCUUAGUUUCAGUAAAGAAAAUUCUUAACGCAAAAGCAUGCAAAGUUUGGGGAAGGCCAACAUAUGGGUGUGAUGGUCAGGUGUCCACAAACAUUUGGUCAUAAAGUGCAUCCAAUGCACAAUGAAAAAAAAAUUAACUAUGGAGUGUAACUGGAUUUUUAUUUAUUUAUUUAUUUAUGUCUAGCAAGAAAGCACAUAAAUUAAUAACACAUGCACAAAAUAUGAUUGUUUAAGAAAAAAUCUUUCUAGUUUUAUGGACCUGCAUGUUCAUUUUUUUUCUACCUUAAACAGUCACCUUGUGAUCUAAGCAGCACAAAAACAUAUGCACACAUAUAAAUCACACCACACCUAUUAUUAGUAGUAAUAAAAUGCUCUUCAGUAACGUGGACACAUCCAAAUAAUUACGUUUUCAUGAACUUUAUACUUUCAAAGAGCAGGACGGAGCCACACCUAAAACUGAAUCCUCAUGAAUGCGAAAGUUCACACAGUGAAAUCGAGGCAGUAAUAACAACCGCCCAUUGGCUGAUUACAUUACUGUAAAGACGACAGACAGAGGAAAAGACCAAUCAGUGUGAAGGAGGCGUGACUCCUUCUGCGCAUGUUAUACAAUAUGGACCAAUGGCCGUCCAGUUUAUAUUCCGUACUGUAUUGUAGUGGAUAAAAAAGGACAUGGAAAGUGUUGCGUGCGCAGUGAAUAACAGCAUAUGGUCGGUCUCUCUCUCUCUCUCUCUCUCUCUCUCUCUCUCUCUCUCACACACACACACACACACACACACACACACGACUGUUUCCCAGCUAAACUCUGCAUUAUUCCGCUCACUGCAGCGACUGUGGAAGUAGGUGUCCAUCAGAAUGAUGCUCCUCACCCUGAUGCUUUUGACCUCUGCUUUGUCUCUCUGCUCAUCCUUGGAUGUCAACUCUAAACCAUGCUUGCGAGCAAAGUACAACAAUGCUCAUGCCACCUUCCUCAAGCGACAUCUGCCUGAUGGCGUACCAAAGACCUGGGACCAGAACGUGUGGAACGCACUGCUCAGGCAGAUAAAGACGUGCAACAGACCCACUCAGUCAUUUUUCCAUGAGAAUGACAGAGAGCGUGUGAACGCAGUAUGCACUAAAGCUGGUGGAAAGCAGCACUCCGGCAACCUGUGCAUCAGCAAGGAGAAAUUCUCCUUUGUGACGGUGCGUGUGAACGUGGACGAGGGAUUGUGUGGCAUUAAGCGCAUAAACAACGAGACCAAACACAUCAUCCUUGGGUGCGACGAGGUCGGGGACUCGUGUCGCCCUGUUCAUUUCGAGGGGAACCCGAACAGUCUGACACCCAGUAAUAAUCAGCCAGACUGUGGAGAACGCUCAGGGUCAAGCUCAGUUUUUAAAGCGGCCAUGUCCAAAAGCUUUCUAGUCUUCACUUUAGUAGCGUUGACUUACAUUUUGUAAUAUUGCAAAUCAUACUUACAAAUGUACUGGUUACACAUCAGUGUUAAAUAAACAGUACUGUAUUAACUAGCACUGAACUAUUACAGUAUUGGAUUAAGAGAGAUAGCGUCACAUUAGAAUAUGCUGUUUUGAGCAGACUCUUACAGAGUCUUAUUCUGCUCCAACUAUUAGUGUUAAUUCAACAGUGUAGGUACCAACUCAACAUGUCUCAAUUUAUCACGGAUUUUGCUGUGCAGCUUUAUCGUAUACUUGUGUACAAAUAUUAAGGCUGAGCCUUGUGAUCAAAUUAAGAGUAAAACAUUUUGACUAGCAGGCUGUUCUACCGAAAAUGAAAAAUAAAGCUAUAAAACAUUAUUGACUUGUUAUGGGUCAAACAGUAUCAAGUGUAAGCAUCAACAAACUUAUUUGAAAUUUGUCUGGUGGCAGUUUAUGGGGUUAGGUUUAAUUGUGAAGUCUGUGAUUAUUUGUAGGAUAAAGUGCAAUGUUGUGCCAACAGAGUAGAAGAUCCACUGGAUCUACACCUUAUUCUUACUCUCUGACUGAAACAUUCAUUAACAUUUAUUACAUAGAUAAACCUAGUAUUAUUGAAUAUAUCGCCUGGUAGUUAGAGAGAUGUGAAUCAUUUUAGAAGACAGAAGAGAUAGAUAGAUAGAUAGAUAGACAGACAGACAGAUAGAGUGAGUGUGUGAGUGAGAUGAGGUCCUAAGUUUCCAUAUGCUUUGCAGAAUUAGCGAAAUAAGAGGGAUCAUAAAAAUUGCAUUUUUAAAUUUUUUUUUAAUUAGUUCUACCCUGAUUAAGCGAUUUCACAUAACAUAUAGUCCACAAGACACAAUAAUAACUGAAUUUACACAAAUGAACCAGUUCAAAAGUUUAUAUAUGUUUGAUUCUUAAUACUGUGUAUUUCCUGGAUCAUCAACGACUGUUUAUAUGUUUUGUGAGAGUUGUUCAUGAGUCCCUUGUUUGUCCUGAGCAAUUAACCUGCCCACUGUUCUUCAGAAAAAUCCUCCAGGUCCUGCACAUUCUUUGCUUUUCCAGCAUCUUCUGCAUAUUUGACCCCUUUCCAUCAGUGGCUAUAUGAUUUUGAGAUCUUUUCACACUGAGGACAACUGAGGGACUCGUACACAACUAUUACAUAAGGUGCAAACAUUCACUGAUACUCAAGAAGGCAACGCACUACAUUAAGAGCCAGGGGGGUAUAAACUUUUCAACAGGAUUAUCAGUGUAAAGUGUUAUUAUGUUGUCUUUUGGGAAGCAUGUAGUUAUCUUUUGCAGCUUCUGAAGGGCAGUACUAAAUAAAUAAAUAAAUAAAUAAAAGAUCUUUAAACAAAAUAAUAAUUUACACCUAUCAUCCUGUUCAAAAUAAAGUAGAUAAAUGGAUAGAUAACAAUAUUGUGUCUAGCUGAAUGCUAUGAGGUCAGCCAUCUUGGACAACUGGAAACAUUUUUCCUACCCCAAUUUGGUAUCAUUCCUCCCCUUAAAGCUCAAAAGCAGAAUUGUACAGAUAAGCUAAAGGUUACAUGAAUGACAAGUUUUCUACUAACUUAAAUUUGAAAAUAGUAGCAUCCCUGCUAUUUUACAGAAAGGUUUAUUCAAAAAUUUGAUUAAAUAGAUGCCAUGUGAAGCAAGUAUUCGAAGAUUUGAGCCUGUGUUUAUGGAAAAGCUUCUGUGGUGACAAACACUUGGUAUUUGAAAAGUUACUUGUUAGCUACAUUAACCUUUAAGCUCUAGUCUAAAACUAAUGAAGCAAAUUGCAGACACCAAAUAUGUCUUGGCUGACAUUUGGUAAAAGGGAUAAGUAUGUAAAUCUGAAUUUUCCCAGAGCAGCAUGGUGGUGCAGUUGGAAGUGUUGCAGCCUCAUAGCUCCAGAGUCCUCUGUUCGAUUCUGAACUCGGGGUUCUGUUUUAGGAUUUCACAUAUUAUCCUCAAGUCUGAUUUUCUCUUACCUCUUAGAAAAACACGCCAGUAGGUGGAUAAGUGACUCUAAAUUGCCUGUAAGGGUGAAUAUAUAAAUGUAUGCUGAAUACAUACAUUUAUGUAUCCCACCCAGGUUGUGUUCUAGCCUCACACCCCAUGUUCCCUGGAUAGGCUCAACCCUGACCAAGAUAAAGCUGAAUGAAUGAAUGAAUGAAUGAAUGAAUGAAUUAACAAUUUUUCACCAAAAUUUUCCUAUAACUCAUCAACCCCAAUAACUGCGCACACAAUCAAACAGAUGCUUCCUCAUCUAUAUUCACUGGUUUUUUUUUUUUUAUCACUUCUUGAAAACUGCACAAGGUGUGCUUCUUGAGGAAGUGAUUUCACAGAAAGCAUAACCUGUGGCAGACAAAAUGAGAAGUCAUAUUACUUCUGUAAAAAUUUUUUUAAACAUGUAGCAACACUAGAUGGCACCACUAUCCAAAUGAUGUCCAGAGCCUCGGAGGCCAUGCUUUAGGCCCACUAGGCUGAAUGACUGCAGCUGUGUGACCCAUAGGAUUUUAGGGAAUUAACUUCAUACUAAUGCGUGUUUACUAAACUCUGGUUCUCUUUCCUUAUGUUAAGGAAGCCCUUUCUCAUCUGUUCCACAUGUUUCACCCCUCAUUCACCUUUAACUUGUCGAAAUCCCUCAUUCUCUGCCUCUCCAUGUGCUUCUAUUGUACUGUGGGGCACUGGAAUGUGAAGGUUUUCUUGAAAUGAAUGUCUCAAAUUUGGCCCCAUCAACAGAAAUCAGUACCAACCUGUAGUAUAUUUUAUCUUUUGGCCUUUUUGUAGAUGAUGGGCUUAGUGUAUUAUAUCUCAUUUCUCGAAGAGUGCCCUGCAAUGAGCAGAUUCAUGUGAAUGGAUGUGUCUUUUGCCUGAACAGGAGGUUGAAUAAGGACAACGAUUUUUUUUUUUGUGGAGGAUGUAUAAAGUCUUCUGAGGUCACAGCACAGGCUUUAUCAACAGGGCAAGGCAGACAGGCUGGUACUGUAUAGGUCACAGUGGAAAAAUGACUUGAGAACCACAUGGCCAACAAGGAGAGCCAACACAGAGAACAAUCCCUCUCUGGGAAAAAGGAGGAAAACAUAAGCAGAAACUGAAAGAAUGAGUGUGGAGUGAAAAGCUAUGGAUGGGUGGAGGAAAGCCACCAGACAGUCAGAGCAGGGUGGAGAGAAUAUGACGAACUGCCCUGUACUUUAACUCAAAAAUUCUGGCCAAAAAGAACAGAAUUAAAAAAAAAUGGGUUUGUAUAUAAAAUAAGGUGUGAGCUUGGGAAAAGCAGCCUGUUUUUAUUCCCACAUCUCUCUCUCUCUCUCUCUCUCUCUCUCUCUCUCUCUCUGUCAAUUCAAUACAAAAAAUAUUAUGUAUAUUGCGUGCAAGAAUUUGACUUGGUAAAGCAGCUUAAGAAGCUACAUGCAUGCAACUAUAUUUAACAUAUGACCUAUACACCUGCAACCAGAUUUUCUAACUUGUUUAACGCAAUCUAACUAAAAUUGACAGGUCAUAGUUAACAUAAGUGAUUAGUAGAGUAAUUUUGGCAUAAUGAACAUAAUAUUCUCAUAUUCCACAUACAGUGCACGUGCCCAGUACUGCUCAAUGUACACCUUGAAUGUUUUUUCACCAUGCAGAUUUCUUGAUAUCCAUCCAUCCAUUUUCUGUACAGCCUGUCCUAUACGUGGUCGCAGGGAGCCUGGAGCCUAUGUUUUUGGGUUUUUCUUUACAGCUCUCACAACGUUUCUGACAUCAGCUGUUGUUGUUUUCCUUGGCAGACCCAUUCUUUGUUUGUUGCUCAGUACACCUGUGGUUUCUUUCUUUUUCAGGACAUUCCAAAUUGUUGUAUUGGUUAUGUCCCAUGUUUUUGCAAUACCAUGGAGAGAUUUUUAUCUCUUUUCUCAGCUUCAAAAUGGCUUGCUUUUCUCCUAUAGACAGCUCUCUGAUCUUCAUGCUGGCUUAUCCUUUUUAACAACAAAUACAGUCUUCACAGGUGAAACUGCAGGCUGAAACCAAGAGUAGAUGGUCAGAGCUAUUUAUUGUUGAAACAAUCGAUCUAACAGGACACACCUGGGUAACAAGAAACACCUGUCUGUCAUAGUUUUGCUCGCCUACAAAUUAGGUGGUCUGACACAAAAUGUGCUAUGUUGUAUGUCGUUUAGCACAUUUACAUAUAAAUACCAGGAAAUAAAAGUUGAAAUUCUAAACUCUCUUCUCAUAUUCAUCUUUUGAUCUCAAACCCAAAUGUGUUCAGUCUACAGCAAAAAUAACCGUUCCGACAGUUUCGAAGGGGACUGUAGGUUCUACAAGCCUUUGGAACUGUACUGGACAGCAGUCUUCCAAAAUAUAGUCCAACUGGUGUUUUGAUGAUGGUGGUUGUAUAGUGCAUUCUCCAUCUAAAACCAUUCUGUGAGGCCUCAUUCCCUUUGGCCAGCCAUCAGGAUAGAAAUGUUUCAUCAUAGGAUGAAGGUGAUCCAGUCAGAAUAACAUUGGAUUGAUUUCCCUUUAAAGAGACAAGUGGGUUUUUUUCCUUUAAUUUGUCGCCUGUCUGUACUUCUCCUCUCAAUGCUGUGUCCAGCUUUUUUGUUCUCAGGUCUUCAUCUCCAUCUUUUCUUUUAUAUUAUUUCCUCCAUAGGUCUAUUGAAACAUUCCCUCUAUUCUUCCUUCUCUUCUACAUCUUUCUCUUUAUAUCAAGUCUCUGCACUCUACCUCCAUCACACUCUGCUCCGGCUGCUUUCUACUUCUUCUCUUUAUUUCUUCCUUCCAUAAAUUUUCUCUCACAAUCUUUUUUUUCAGCCAGGUUGUUAAACGCUGACCCACAUGCAGUAAUCAGUAGCACAAGGGCUGCUCUAGCUUCCAGGAUACAGUUCACUGGCAGCUUUGACGAGUCACACACAAAACCACAAACACACACACACACACACACAUGACUUCAGAAGCCUUAGCCGAGGGCUGUUUAGGGUGAAAGAGUUCAUUUAUUGGAAACAACUAAACUAACAAAACAUCAAAUAUGAGGAUGUAAGAUUUUGAAAUUCCCAUCAGAGAGACAAAGAAAGAGAGAUAAUGCCAUUCCACCAUCAGAUCUUUCAUCUUUGUGUGCCUAAUCUUUUCCUUUUUAUCUCUUUGGUUACUCUUCCCCUUUUGUUCCUGUGUCUUUGCCACAUUCCCCUUUAGUUGCAGGUGUUUUGCAUGUUUUAUUGCUCUGGUAGAUGUUUGAUUGGAGUUGGAAGAGAACAGAGGGUUUAUGAUGUCUUUGUCAUAAGGGCACUCACAAUAGCCCUCACUCCAAUACAGGAAAGAGGCAAGCGGGACUCCACCGUUUGCUCAGGUCAAGCGGGAA
ensembl:lncRNA